UGCCCUUUAAAAUCAGCAACUCCGAAAAGGAAAGCGCCUUUUGCAAUUUGAAGGAUCCUGCGUGUUCCUGCUCCAGCUUUGAUGUCUUCUGGAUUAUAGAAAAACCACAGGUCUGAGGCGGGGCCACCAGCCCGGCCCGGCAGAACACGGCACAUCCGGCCUGCGGAGGGAUGCAUGCAGGUCCCCAGCAGCGCUCUGCUUCAGCCGUGCCCUGCAUUCCGGCUUCAGCCGUGCCCUGCAUUCCGGCUUCAGCCGUGCCCUGCAUUCCGGCUUCAGCCGUGGCCGGCAUUUCGGCCCGGCGGGGGCUGGGGCUGUGAGGCUGAGGAGCUGCGAGGCUGAGGAGCUGCGGCCCGCGGGGCCUCGGCUGGGCGGGUGCAGCCCCGCCCCCGCAGCCGCAUUGUGUGGGAGGAGCGGUUCGGCGACGGAGUGGAGUUGCCAGCAAGGCUUGCAGCUGUGGCUCAUUGGCUGCUGGCUGAGCUCCCCUCACUGGUUUGAGCACUGCAGUACCUUCCCUGCAUGCCCUUCUGUUGCAAAGACAAAGUUCUCCUUGAAGGGAGUGUGGUGCCUCUCCUCCAGCACGCAUAACGGUGUGGGCGGAGCAAGCUGCUUCCAGAGGCUGACCUGACCUGGAAGAGUGCUGCUGCGCCUUCACAGCGACAGCGUGUGGUGUCUCUGGUGGCGGGCAUGGGGCAGUGCCUCUCUCCCACCGACUGACUUCGGAUCCUCUCACAGGCCAGCCCACACCUUCCACAGAAGCUGCAGGGCUCUGAGGAGCAAGAUCACUGAAAUGAACUGUUUGUUCUUGAAAGCUGCUGGCAGAGGAUGUUUGCAGAUGAUCUCUGGAGUGGUGGGAAAAGAUGUGUUCAGGAAGCAGGACCUGGGCAGUGCUAUAAUGUCCUUUCUGCACAUCAGAAGGUCCAAACGAGCCCACCCUCGGUGCAAGAAGGGCAGCAGAGAGGCAGGCAUGUGACCAGAGGACAGAGACUGCACUCUCCUGCUGUGAGUAAAGUAACAAAAUCACGUACAACAUCUCACGCCUUCCACCCAGAGCAGGUCCCCACAUGCCAUUUUCUAGCCUUUGAACUCAUUAGUCUUGAUGCAGUUUCACAUGCACAAACCCAGAACUUUGUUACUAAACUGAAAUCAUGUGCACAGGCUGUUCCUAAGAAAUACCAGUCAUCUACACAAGUAAAAUUCUGAAUUGCUAACUGCACGCUGGCCUAAGGAUAAACCUGAAUGGAGGUUUCAGGAAAAGGUGUUUGUUCCUGGCACAGCUCAGUAGCUUCUAGCCACCAUCUGCAAAUCUCUUAGAUAUUCCAUAAAAUGGCAGAUUACUAUCCUUUAACUCUUUCACCAGGGCUGCAGGGCAGAGGUGCUGGAGAUUCACAUGAGCUAAAUUAAGUUUUCUGUUUGACUGAGGCUGUGGAUUUGGUUUUGGUUUAUUUUGAGAUUAGUUCUUGCACUUUAGGAUUUAAAACUGUGCUGUGGCAGGUGUUAGCUCUGACUGUAGCUAAAAAAACCCAGUUUCUCCAUAUUACAGGGAAAUCAGUUUGAAUAUUUUAAUUUUCUGAUUUUAAUUUACACAGGUUUUUACUAGGAGGUGCAGCACUGUGCAAGACACUGUGCUGGACUACACAAAUAUAUAUUAAGCCUUGGUACUACCAUGACGAAUGUACAGAGUAGAAUUAUCAGAAUUAGUAAUGAAUCACAGACACUUAAAAAUAAAGAAACACUUCUGCAGUUUAAUUCUUGCCUAACAUUCCAGGAUUCAAAUCAAAAAUGAAACAGAUUCUGGGUGUCUAAGUCCAAGUGAGGAACCAAAAAAUCUGAGCUUGGUGCCAGCUAGACCCCUGUGCUACAGAGUGAUUGUGAACACUUGUUUGACUGGUACAGACAAAGCCUGUGUAUAAUCAGGGAAGACACAGUGCCACAAUCAAACAUCCCUGAUCCUUAUCUCAACCCCUUCACCUUAAUUCCAUAAUCAGCACUUAGAUCACAGAGAGGUUGGAACUAUUAUCCAGGCCUCUCCUUUAGCAUUACAGUAUCUCAAACAAGUCCCUGCCUGUAAGGAUUUGCUUUCUUCAAAACUUUCACCCAGUCCCAUGGUUAACUUGACUUCAGUCAGCAAACUGGCAACAAAAUUCUGAAAUUUAGAAAUAGCUUAAGCUCAGCCCAUUUCUGCCUUCAGAUCAGUUGGUUUUACAAUUCCCAAGCAUCAUCAUUCUGCAUCCAGCUGGGAUCCAUUUGACUACAGUUGCUGCUGGUGGGGGGGGCAGGAACCAACCACCCUCGUUGCUGAGUCUUAUCCUGUAAAUUUAGCAGAAAGAAGCUAGUGCACGCCAUCUCGUGGCCCUGCACAGCUAUUUCCCGGGAACGAAGGGAGCUCCGGUUGCGACGAGGUUUGAUGUGGACAGGAUUUAAAAGGUGACUUUCAGAGGCUCAGACACAGCCCCACCUUCUGACCCCCCCCCCCACCCCAGCUAAGAAACGUUCACCACUAGUGCUUUGUCCACACUCCUGCCUUGACCUUGCAGCCUGAGCAGCUAUUUCCUGGAGCAGCAGCGGAGCAUCAAACUGCAAAAGGCACAAAAGGCACUUCUUCAGAACAUGCUCACAUGGCUGUUGAGCUAACCCUGUCCUCACAACACAUGCAGGGUGCCAGAGAACACAGUCCCCAGAGCAGCUUUGUGGAGCAGGAUAUUACCAUAUUCAUUUUAGAGUAGGUCAUACACAUGUAAAUAAUUGUUAAUUACAUGCAAGGUUGGGGAUGUUCAUGGUACAUCUGUUUUCAUCUGCUGUCAGGAUUUGUUAAAGAACUCCACAUGUCAAUGCUUUAAAUAAAGCUAAUGUGCCUGUUCCUAACUGUUCAUUAAAAGCUGAAUAUAUGAACUUAGAAAAUAAGGUUACAUCAGCUGUCAGUCCUUUGCUGUAUCUUAAGCUCCUAUACCUCCUUACUCUCUCUUUUUGGUGGGAAAAUCAAGGCAUUAAGAGACCCUUGCCAGAAGUGAUUAAGGUAAAAUUUUAUCACAUUGAGUUGAGGGAAUUAGAUAAAGAGGGACAGGGUACAACAGUAUGACUUCAAGGCCUGUGUUUUCAUUUUAAGUAGUAAGUGUUCACAAUGUUUAUGACUUUUUAGCUAAGCGAUUACAGCUUAAAUCUGCACCACCAUCAUCUCCAAAUCCGAAGUCAGAUUUUCUUCAGCAGAAUUGCUGAUGGUAACACUGCCUUACUUCCACUGCUCUCGUAGCUGUCAAAAGGCUGGAUAUAUAGUCAGCAACAGGGGCCUUAAAAUAGCUAGCAGAAAUGUUAACUUCAGACUAAGCAUCUUCUUUUGUCUGCUAUGACAGACAAGUGCACAAAACCUAUGAAAGUUUGCAGCUUGCUGUUGCAAAGCGUAGAAUCAGGCCAGAGAACACUGUGCCAUACUGCAAGAACACAAACAUCUACCCAAGGACUCUAGUUAAAAACAUCUGAUUACAAUCAGCAACUGCUCUAAAUUUGGUUUGUGAUAAACAUAUUUUUACUCUUCUUGCGUUGGAAGUGUGUUGGAACAAAGUUGCAGGAAAGACUGUUAGACCUGUGAGGCUCAAUGAAACUCGAUACCAGCAUGAUACCAGCUUGAUGCUUCCUCUGUUAGAGGAAAGAAAAGAGGGAACAUCCUUCUUCUCAUGUCAAGGUUUAAUUCUGAGGUAUACGACACUGGAUUUACAAAGGUAAAUAAAAAUACAUUCUGAGAAACAGCAAGUGCCCUAUUUAACAAGGCAGAGGGCUUUCACACUCCAAGCAGCUGAGAAAAGAAACUGCUUACAGUAUGAAAAGUAUUUGGGGUCUGUCUUUGACAUGGGUUUUUGCCAUAACAGAUGAUGAGACAUGUGCAGCAGUGGGGCAGAGGAAAGACAAAUACUUAGGUGAUAAAGACAGGACAACAGGUAUUAGAUAAGGCUUCUGCUUGAACAAAUUAUUUGAGACAUUAUCAUCAUGAUCAGAAGUCAGAUGCAACUACUGUUCCAAACACUGCUCAGGCAAGCUACUACAUUGCCAAAAUUAAUUACACAGCUGUUGAGAUAAACUUCAGCUCAAGCCUGCUGAUGAUAUGGGUAAGUUUGUAUAUACUUGUAGCAACCACAUAUAAAUGAAAUCCCAGUAAUACAGAAGGGCAAGUGGUACAGAAGAGUUUUCCACAUCAACUGUACCUGAUAACAAAAGCAAAUGCUAUCACCUGGAGUACAGUGCACAUAACAGUUUCUACAAGUGUAUCAUCCACAGUUAAUCUGCAAUUUUUGUCCUAAAUAUGAAUUUAAAAAGCCAAGUAUGAAUCAUAUGCAGGCAGAUUUAAUGACUCAUUGCUGCAAUGGAUUUAACCACAAGUGCUGAUCCUGC